CAUGUCAAGCAUUUGGGAGACACUGUUUAUAAGAAUUCUUGUAGUGUAAUUCAUAAUGGGGACUGUGGGAAAUUGAUUCAUUGUAUUGGUUAAUAUCAUUGACUGAAUCAGGAACUGAAAGGUCUCCCUGAUUGAUUUUAUUCUCAACUGCUUGGCCAUCUCCAGGAUAUGUUUCCUGUAGAUAACAAUUUUAGCUACCUCUUUCAAUAUAGGCUAUGAGAAAAUGCCUGAUUCUAAGAAUCUUGCAGUAAGUUUUGACAUUCUCUGGACAGGAUCCAGCUAUUUCUGCCUGUCCUGUACCACUUGCCUCAGUGUCUUCUAUUUCCUCAAGGUAGCCAACUUCUCCAAUCCCAUUUUCCUCUGGAUGAAAUGGAAAAUUCACAAGGUGCUUCUCUUUAUUGUACUAGAGGCAACGAUCUCUUUCUGCACAACUUCCAUUCUGAAGGAAAUAAUAAUUAAUAGUUUAAUCUAAGAACGGGUAACAAUAAAAGGCAACUUGACAUUUAAUUAUAUGGAUACCAUGCAUGAUUUCACUUCUCUGUUUCUCCUUCAGAUGAUGUUCAUCCUUCCUUUUGUGGAAACACUGGCUUCCAUUCUUCUCUUAAUCCUCUCCUUAUGGAGCCACACCAGGCAGAUGAAGCUACAUGGUAUUUAUUCCAGGGAUCCCAGCACAGAAGCCCAUGUAAAACCUAUAAAAGCUAUAAUUUCAUUUCUACUCCUCUUUAUUGUGCAUUAUUUCAUCAGUAUCAUACUAACAUUGGCCUGUCCUCUUCUAGACUUCGUUGCGGCAAGGACUUUUAGUAGUGUGCUGGUAUUUUUCCAUCCAUCUGGCCAUUCAUUUCUUCUAAUUUUACGGGACAGCAAACUGAAGCAAGCUUCUCUCUGUGUCCUGAAGAAGAUGAAGUAUGCCAAAAAGGACAUAAUCUCUCAUUUUUAUAAA
rnacentral:lncRNA from 1 species